GGGUUGUGAGGUUAAGCGACUAAGCGUACACGGUGGAUGCCCUGGCAGUCAGAGGCGAUGAAGGACGUGCUAAUCUGCGAUAAGCGUCGGUAAGGUGAUAUGAACCGUUAUAACCGGCGAUUUCCGAAUGGGGAAACCCAGUGUGAUUCGUCACACUAUCAUUAACUGAAUCCAUAGGUUAAUGAGGCGAACCGGGGGAACUGAAACAUCUAAGUACCCCGAGGAAAAGAAAUCAACCGAGAUUCCCCCAGUAGCGGCGAGCGAACGGGGAGGAGCCCAGAGCCUGAAUCAGUGUGUGUGUUAGUGGAAGCGUCUGGAAAGGCGCGCGAUACAGGGUGACAGCCCCGUACACAAAAAUGCACAUGCUGUGAGCUCGAUGAGUAGGGCGGGACACGUGGUAUCCUGUCUGAAUAUGGGGGGACCAUCCUCCAAGGCUAAAUACUCCUGACUGACCGAUAGUGAACCAGUACCGUGAGGGAAAGGCGAAAAGAACCCCGGCGAGGGGAGUGAAAAAGAACCUGAAACCGUGUACGUACAAGCAGUGGGAGCACAGAGCAAUCUGUGUGACUGCGUACCUUUUGUAUAAUGGGUCAGCGACUUAUAUUCUGUAGCAAGGUUAACCGAAUAGGGGAGCCGAAGGGAAACCGAGUCUUAACUGGGCGUUAAGUUGCAGGGUAUAGACCCGAAACCCGGUGAUCUAGCCAUGGGCAGGUUGAAGGUUGGGUAACACUAACUGGAGGACCGAACCGACUAAUGUUGAAAAAUUAGCGGAUGACUUGUGGCUGGGGGUGAAAGGCCAAUCAAACCGGGAGAUAGCUGGUUCUCCCCGAAAGCUAUUUAGGUAGCGCCUCGUGAAUUCAUCUCCGGGGGUAGAGCACUGUUUCGGCAAGGGGGUCAUCCCGACUUACCAACCCGAUGCAAACUGCGAAUACCGGAGAAUGUUAUCACGGGAGACACACGGCGGGUGCUAACGUCCGUCGUGAAGAGGGAAACAACCCAGACCGCCAGCUAAGGUCCCAAAGUCAUGGUUAAGUGGGAAACGAUGUGGGAAGGCCCAGACAGCCAGGAUGUUGGCUUAGAAGCAGCCAUCAUUUAAAGAAAGCGUAAUAGCUCACUGGUCGAGUCGGCCUGCGCGGAAGAUGUAACGGGGCUAAACCAUGCACCGAAGCUGCGGCAGCGACACUGUGUGUUGUUGGGUAGGGGAGCGUUCUGUAAGCCUGUGAAGGUGUGCUGUGAGGCAUGCUGGAGGUAUCAGAAGUGCGAAUGCUGACAUAAGUAACGAUAAAGCGGGUGAAAAGCCCGCUCGCCGGAAGACCAAGGGUUCCUGUCCAACGUUAAUCGGGGCAGGGUGAGUCGACCCUAAGGCGAGGCCGAAAGGCGUAGUCGAUGGGAAACAGGUUAAUAUUCCUGUACUUGGUGUUACUGCGAAGGGGGACGGAGAAGGCUAUGUUGGCCGGGCGACGGUUGUCCCGGUUUAAGCGUGUAGGCUGGUUUUCCAGGCAAAUCCGGAAAAUCAAGGCUGAGGCGUGAUGACGAGGCACUACGGUGCUGAAGCAACAAAUGCCCUGCUUCCAGGAAAAGCCUCUAAGCAUCAGGUAACAUCAAAUCGUACCCCAAACCGACACAGGUGGUCAGGUAGAGAAUACCAAGGCGCUUGAGAGAACUCGGGUGAAGGAACUAGGCAAAAUGGUGCCGUAACUUCGGGAGAAGGCACGCUGAUAUGUAGGUGAAGUCCCUCGCGGAUGGAGCUGAAAUCAGUCGAAGAUACCAGCUGGCUGCAACUGUUUAUUAAAAACACAGCACUGUGCAAACACGAAAGUGGACGUAUACGGUGUGACGCCUGCCCGGUGCCGGAAGGUUAAUUGAUGGGGUCAGCGCAAGCGAAGCUCUUGAUCGAAGCCCCGGUAAACGGCGGCCGUAACUAUAACGGUCCUAAGGUAGCGAAAUUCCUUGUCGGGUAAGUUCCGACCUGCACGAAUGGCGUAAUGAUGGCCAGGCUGUCUCCACCCGAGACUCAGUGAAAUUGAACUCGCUGUGAAGAUGCAGUGUACCCGCGGCAAGACGGAAAGACCCCGUGAACCUUUACUAUAGCUUGACACUGAACAUUGAGCCUUGAUGUGUAGGAUAGGUGGGAGGCUUUGAAGUGUGGACGCCAGUCUGCAUGGAGCCGACCUUGAAAUACCACCCUUUAAUGUUUGAUGUUCUAACGUGGACCCGUGAUCCGGGUUGCGGACAGUGUCUGGUGGGUAGUUUGACUGGGGCGGUCUCCUCCUAAAGAGUAACGGAGGAGCACGAAGGUUGGCUAAUCCUGGUCGGACAUCAGGAGGUUAGUGCAAUGGCAUAAGCCAGCUUGACUGCGAGCGUGACGGCGCGAGCAGGUGCGAAAGCAGGUCAUAGUGAUCCGGUGGUUCUGAAUGGAAGGGCCAUCGCUCAACGGAUAAAAGGUACUCCGGGGAUAACAGGCUGAUACCGCCCAAGAGUUCAUAUCGACGGCGGUGUUUGGCACCUCGAUGUCGGCUCAUCACAUCCUGGGGCUGAAGUAGGUCCCAAGGGUAUGGCUGUUCGCCAUUUAAAGUGGUACGCGAGCUGGGUUUAGAACGUCGUGAGACAGUUCGGUCCCUAUCUGCCGUGGGCGCUGGAGAACUGAGGGGGGCUGCUCCUAGUACGAGAGGACCGGAGUGGACGCAUCACUGGUGUUCGGGUUGUCAUGCCAAUGGCACUGCCCGGUAGCUAAAUGCGGAAGAGAUAAGUGCUGAAAGCAUCUAAGCACGAAACUUGCCCCGAGAUGAGUUCUCCCUGACCCUUUAAGGGUCCUGAAGGAACGUUGAAGACGACGACGUUGAUAGGCCGGGUGUGUAAGCGCAGCGAUGCGUUGAGCUAACCGGUACUAAUGAACCGUGAGGCUUAACCUUACAACGCCGAAGGUGUUU
rnacentral:rRNA from 1 species